GGGCCCUUGGCACAGUUGGUAGCGCGUACGCUUCGCAUGCGUAAGGUCGUGGGUUCAACUCCCACAGUGUCCA
rnacentral:tRNA from 2 species